rnacentral:rRNA from 1 species
GACGAACGCUGGCGGCGUGCUUAACACAUGCAAGUCGAACGGAAAGGCCCUGCUUUUGUGGGGUGCUCGAGUGGCGAACGGGUGAGUAACACGUGAGUAACCUGCCCUUGACUUUGGGAUAACUUCAGGAAACUGGGGCUAAUACCGGAUAGGAGCUCCUGCUGCAUGUUGGGGGUUGGAAAGUUUCGGCGGUUGGGGAUGGACUCGCGGGUUAUCAGCUUGUUGGUGGGGUAGUGGCUUACCAAGGCUUUGACGGGUAGCCGGCCUGAGAGGGUGACCGGCCACAUUGGGACUGAGAUACGGCCCAGAAUCCUACGGGAGGCAGCAGUGGGGAAUAUUGCACAAUGGGCGGAAGCCUGAUGCAGCAACGCCGCGUGCGGGAUGACGGCCUUCGGGUUGUAAACCGCUUUCGCCUGUGACGAAGCGUGAGUGACGGUAAUGGGUAAAGAAGCACCGGCUAACUACGUG